rnacentral:tRNA from 1 species
UGGAGAGGUGGCAGAGUGGUCGAAUGCGUUCGACUUGAAAUCGAAUGAACCGAAAGGUUCCGUGGGUUCGAAUCCCACCCUCUCCGU